UACGUAGGUGACGAGCGUUGUUCGGAAUUAUUGGGCGUAAAGGGUUCGUAGGAUGUUUAUUAAGAUUGGUGUGAAAUCCCAAGGCUCAACCUUGGAACUGCAUUGAUUACUGAUGAACUAGAGUAUCGUAGAGGAAAGCGGAAUUCCAGGUGUAGCGGUGGAAUGCGUAGAUAUCUGGAAGAACACCGACAGCGAAGGCAGCUUUCUGGGCGAUAACUGACUCUGAGGAACGAAAGCAUGGGGAGCAAACAGG
rnacentral:rRNA from 1 species